rnacentral:rRNA from 1 species
UACGGGGGGAGCAAGCGUUGUUCGGAUUUACUGGGCGUAAAGGGCGCGUAGGCGGCCACCGCAAGUCGGUUGUGAAAUCUCCGGGCUUAACCCGGAAAGGUCAAUCGAUACUGCGGGGCUAGAGUGCAGAAGGGGCAACUGGAAUUCUCGGUGUAGCGGUGAAAUGCGUAGAGAUCGGGAGGAACACCGGCGGCGAAGGCGGCUGCCUGGACCAGUCCUGACGCUAAGGCGCGAAAGCUAGGGGAGCAAACAGG